CAGAGGGAUGCCCAGGAUGAGGUGAAGACGAUCUUGGAAAUCAGCCCAGAUGUGCAUGCACCAGUCCACGUGUGGCAGGACCAAGGGAAGUGUCUUCACAAAGAUGAGGCUUUGAUUUGUUGGAGAAACUGUUACCAGAAAAACAGGUCCCGAUCCCGACCCCAAAAGAGUAUUCUUGGAUCUUGCACAGGAAGGAAUUAAAGGUGAGUCACAGAGUGCAGUGAGAAGGAGAUAGUUUAUUGAAAGUUACUCAGAUACAGAGUAGGUGUCCUCAGAAAGCAAAAGGAAGAAUGCACCAUCUUUGUUGUAAACUCUUCUAAUGUAGGGGUUUAAUCUACAUAAAAGCUAAGUUAAAUGUCUAUGUGUGGGUGCUCUGACAGCAUGACAAAAUUUAGGACCUAUUGAUUUAAAGAAAGUUAUCCUUGGCAUUUUAGUUAGUAUAUCAAAGCAUGACUAUAAUAAUCUUAAAAGCAUAUAUUAUAAUGUGACGUCAGGACAUGUGGACAUUCUGUUGUCUGUCAUAGGCGUUUGUUCUUGCAGGCAUUAUUAAGUUGUUUAAUCAGCUGUAAACCUCUUAUGACCAUGGGUUGUGACUGGCAAGGAAUAUGCCUUGCUAGUUGAAAGAUGGAGUUGACUUUAAAAUGGUGUCACCCUGGCUCUCCUAUGCUUCUGUUUCCCCAAAAAAGCCAGGUUACUUGUCCUGUAGAAUGAUCCACAUUCUGAGUUUGGCUAAUGACAUUCUCAUGGUAUUAACUUGUUUCUUUAUAUGUUGUUUUUUCUGUUACCCACAAAAUAAUUCUUCUGAUACACAUUUGUAAUCUUACCAUGCCAGCAUCUGCUACUCUUCAUGUUACCAAAUUUCUGUUCAAGGACCACUAAAGCCACAGUCAGUGGACAUUCUGAGACCUCUAGGGGAGGGUGGAGAUGCUGUCCUUUAAUAUAGUCUGACCCAAGCAACCUCCCCACUUGGCAUGGUGAAUCUAGACAAGCUAAAGAAUUUACUACGCCCCAGGCCUGCACCAGCCCUCUCCUAAGACCUUGGGCACUCUCAUUUCCCUUUUUUUUUUUUCUAAAGGAAGUCAUAGUUUCUCAUAACCUUUGCUAGUGAUCCUGGACCUUGGUUGUUCCCUGAGGCUGUGUUCUCCACACUGCUGCCAUCACUGCUACAGCAGAGGUGCAGAAAGCUCAGGAGAGAGAAGGGAGGAAAAGCUGAAGAUUUUGUGUUAUUCAUGCUUUCCUGACUCCGGCGAAAGUGCUUCCUCCACCUGCAACCAUUUCUGUUUCUAUACUGCUGAGUCUUGUGUUCCCAAGACCAAGGGAAGCCCAUUUUCUUUAAAGCCAGUCACAGUUUCUGUUGGCUGAUGGAAUAUCUGUUGUCCAGCAGUUGUAUUCCUGCUCACAAAUGCAAAACAGUUUGAUGCCACGCACAUUCCAGGGCUUAGACUGGAAAUGCUGUCCCUUGCCCCUUUGUUACCUUCUGACAGGGAUCAGUCCAUAGUGUAGUUGGUGUCACAACAGUCCCGAAGAAGCCUUCCAAUAGAUACCCAAAUGUGAUUCAAAGUGGCACAGGCACACACCACGGUGCCACAUGGUGCCUAUGUAAAGCAGGUAUAUCAGGAAUGCUAAGCAGAGAAGUAGCAGAACACACUGAUCCCCAUGUUCUCAUUGUACAGUUGGGUGCAAUUAAGCUGGCACAAUGGACUCUUCUCAUGGCUACUGUUCCAGUAGUGUGGAUGCCCCCAAAUGCUGCAUAUUUACUAGGACAGCCAGGCAGAGACAGCUGUGUACUAUGAUACAACAGUAGUCCCUCUUAGAGGAAGUGACCUUGUUAGAAGUGGGAGUUUCUGAAGCUCUUCAGCUGUUACUGGCCUGCUCUUCCAUAGCGUUACUUCAGACCUGCUGGCCCAGCUAUCCACUCCGCUAACAGGUCUGUCUCUGCUAACAGGUCUAGCUCUGUCUCCUCAGCACAUGUUCUAGGCUCUGACUGCAAGUGCUGACUUGGGCUCCCAGCCCCACACAGACCCUCUGUUCCAUGAAAGGGCCAUCUAUGCAAAGUGCCCCCCAAAUGCCAAAGGAGCCAAUAAACCAAGGAACAAGACAGACAAAUCUAGUUGUCAGUAAAGAGUGUUUUAUUGGGGAACUUACAGACAGAAGCGUGGUCUUGGAUGGCAGGAAGACAGGUAGGUUUCUGCACUUAUUACCCCCACACCCAGGGCUUAUAUACCACAGGGGAAGAGUAUACAUGCUCUGUGCAAGACAAAGGCUACUACUGUCCAGAACAGGUAAGAAUGCUAAUGUGUCAUAGCCUAGAAUUUGUAUAACAUCAAGGUUGACAUGUUCUUACAAUAGGGAUGGUAAAUAAAGUGGGAAUCAGGAGUCAGUCCUGGGACUGGGGCUAAUCAGAAGUCAGCAUAGAGAAUUAGCAUCCAAGAGGGAGUCACUUUUCUCUCCACAUCCCAGCCCUCUAAUCCAGCUCUUACAAUCUCAUGGACUCACAUUUCCCCCAUAGUCCCUGAGCCUUCAGAGAGGGCUGUGGGUGACAUUUUGAUGGUGUGAGUGACACAUUUUAUCAAUUUGUUUUCUACUUGUUAAGCAGGGGCCACAGCAACAACACAAACAACAGGCGAUGAUAUGUAUGCCAGGUGUAAGACACAGAAUUAAAAAUGCCCUUUACCAUGUUUAUUCAGGAACCAAACCAAGAGGUAUAGAGCAGAACAACAAUAGGAACAGAAGACUAUGGGUGGAAUUAAAAAUGUUUAGUAGGUAUUUGGUGGGGCAGUUCUUCCCCAUUAAACAGAAUUACUGGUAGCUCCAUCUCUGUUGAUUAGGAACAUAGGAUUGUGGGCUGGGAGUACACACCAAACAUGUUGCCUGAGGGGCAAAGGCGCUGGUAUUAUGUGUAAGGUUACAGGGGCAGCAAAGGACCAUGUCAAAUGGCCAGCCAGGGUGCUUCUUAAAAGGGACUGUGUUCCAGUUUAUUGGUAUGUGGAGUGUUUUGGCCCAGACUUCAGCAGGAUCAAUGGAGACCACUUUAGUUGGUAGGGAAUUCCUUGCUGUCUGGAAAGAAAUGCUCUAUCCAACAUAGGGGAAGUUGCUAGUCCAACCCCCAUUCAAGUGUCUCCUCCCUGGCUCAAGAUCUUGAGGAGUUCUAAAUAACCUUUGCCAUUGGCCUUUUAUCUGCUCAGGUCAGAGAUGCAUCUGGUUGGACUUUCUUUACUAUUAUGGUUAAUGGAUCCAUCUCUGUGGUGGUCCUGAGUCAUUGGUGUGGUGCCAGCACCAUAUUUGUCUCAACUAAAUUAAGGUUUCUAAUGGCUUGAGGCAAAAUCUUUGUCUAACUAUGAAAGAUAUUGGAUUUUGAGAGUGCUCAAAACUGUGCCUUCAAAAUACCAUUUUUCCUUUCAAUCAACCCUGUUGCUUGGGGGAGUAUACAGUAAGUGAAAUACCCAGUCUAUGUCCCUUUCAUGCAUCCAGUCUUGGACACCGUGUCUGGUGAAAUGCAUGCCUCGAUUGCUAUCAAUAUGUGGAGGGUAUCCUUACAUGACACUGAGUUGCUCCAAGCCCCUGAUGGUGGCUGUUUGGUUUGCUCUUACAAGGGAAAGCUUGCAACAAUCCCAUGGCAGUGUAUACACAUGUUAGUGCAUACUUUCGUCUCAAGAUUACUGGCAAGGGUCUGAUGUAGUCUAUCUACCAGUCUGUCACAGGGGUGGCUGUCUUAUGUAUAUGUCCAGGUGUAUGUGGGAUGUGGCAGAGGUACAGACGGGAACAAAUUAAGCAGUUUGCUACCGCCACCACUAAAUCUGCAUAGCAGAGAGCCAAUCCUGCUCCCUUUGCUAUUUGGCAGCCCAUUCAUGCACUGAAAUCCCCACUGUGAUAUGUACCUAAUCAACUAGCUCAGUAUUCUAAUUUUUGCUAGGAUGUCUGCCUCCAUGUUUCUGGGAGGUGAAUCUGACCAGUGUGCUGAAGCAAUUAGGUCCACAGUGGGUUCCUGUAGACUUUUCCAAAUGUCUUUCCACAUAUCAGCUCCCCAUAAGGAUUUUUAAAUUAUAUACCAAUCAUCUCAGGCCCUUUGGGCAAGCCAAAUUGUAAGACCCUUAAGUACUGCCAGACUGUCUGUACAGAGAACUAUAGGUGGUGGCUCACGGGUACAAACCAACCAUGUAGCUUGGAGUUCUGCCCAUUGACUGCUCUGUUGCAUUCCCAUCUCAAACCAGAUACUGUCUGUGGUUGUGCAGCUACUACUGUCCAUACACAGGGUUACCUUGGCUCAAUGCAUCUAAGUACCAAGCAUUAUCAGGAAUGAGGGCCAUGCCUUCAUGUACCAUUGGAGACAUCUCCUGUGAGGGCUCCACAAUAGGGGCAGCACUGGACUCAUAAUGUACUGGCCCUAAGAUAGCAUGCAGUUCAUCUCUUAAGGGAUGCAUGGAGAAGGCACUAUGUUGUUGCAUGUAUGCAUGGCACUUUUGUAAAGUGGAAACUUGGGCAAUAGCUGAUACAGGCCUGGCAAACACUCCUACCCAGUCCUUGAUAGGAAACCUGUUCUCCCUGGUACCAGGAAAGCAGCAGUUAUGGAUUCAACUUGUGGCAAGACCUUCUAUAUCCCCAGGACCUGUUAUUCAACUGGGAAAUAGCAGGUUUCAGUACCCUUCCAUUAAUUGUGACUAAAAUUCUAAAGGAACUGCUUCCCUAUGCUGGACUUUAUAUUUUCAUCAUCCAAAAUUAUAGUUUAGUUUUACCUUUAAAAAUAUGUUUUUUGUUCUCAUUUGUUCCAUAGGUUUCUCCUUGAAAUUUAUAUUGUAUGGUAAGGUUUCCUAUUGUUUGCAUUUUGUGGAUUGCACGCCAAGGUGUGGUUUAAUGUAUUUCUAUUACCUGUAUUUUCUGUAAAUUGGUAGUUUGGUAUAGAGGUUUGUGUACAUUCAGGGUUUUUUUUUUUCUGUAAGUAUUGAUGGUUCUGUAAAAGGAAAAUAAAAUCUUGGGGCCCCAAAAUUACUAAGCUAAAGGGAAAAGUCAAGCUGGGAACUGCUUAGGGUAAACCUGCCUCCCAUCUGUUCAGAGUCGCCCCUCUGCUCACUGAGAUAAACACAUGUCUGAUUCCCUCAUUUGGAAAGGCUAAUCGGAAACUCAAAAGAAUGCAACCAUUUGUCUCUCAUCUAUCUGUGACCUGGAAGCCCCCUCCUUGCUUCGAGUUGUCCCGCCUUUCCAGACGGAAUCAAUCUUUAGCUUACAUAUGUUGAUCACUGUCUCAUGUCCCCUUAAAAUGUAUAAAACCAAGUUGUGCUCUGACCACCAAAGUUGUGCUGAGAAGUGACACCAAAGAACAUGGUGGCAUAAGAACUCCAAGGACCCCUCCCCUCCACAGCGGCAAUGUGCUUGUUGAAACACCAGUAUAAAAAAACUCGAUGAGAGCUGUGAUUGGAUUUAGUGUUGAUAUAUUUUUUGUAAAUUGUGGUAAAACAUGCAUACUAUAUAAUUUACCUUCUAACCAUUUUUUCAGUGUACAAUUUGGUGGCAGUAAGCACAUUUACAAUGUUGUGUAACCACCGCCAAUAUCCAUUUCCAGAACAUUUUCAUCAUCCCAAACAGAAACUGUACCCAUUAAACCAUAACUGCCCAUUCUCCCUACCCCCAGCCCCUGGUAAUCUCUAUUCUAUUUUCUGUUUCUAUGAAUUUGCUUAUUCUAGCUACUUUAUAUAAGUAAAAUAUCAUAUUUGUUUUUAUUUCUGGCUUAUUUCACUUAUAGUGUUUUCAAGGCUCAUCCAAUUAGAAUUUCAUUCACUUUUAAGGCUGAAUAAUAUUCCAUGCUUAUGUGCACCGUGGGUUGUUUAUCCAGUCAUCCUCUGAUGGACACUCGGUUGCUUCCACCUUUUGGAUAUUGGGUAUAGUGCUGCUAUGGGCCUGAGUGUACACAUAUCUGGGUGAGUUCCUGCUUUCAGUGCUUUUGGGUAUGCCCAAAAGUGGAAUUGUUGGCUCAUAUAGUAAUUCUAUUUUUACUUUCUUGAGGAAUCACUAUUCUGUUUUCCAUGGUGGCUGCACCACUGUAUACUCUCACCAGCAGUGUACAAGUGUUCCAGUUUCUCCAUAUCUUCACCAACACUUGGCCUAGUGAAGUUUACCAUAUUUUUAUGUCCUUAUUGGCAUUCCUUUUUUUUUUUUUUUUGUGAAACAGAGUCUUGCUCUGUUGCCAGGCUGGAGUGCAGUGGCACAAUCUCGGCUCGCUGUAACCUCCACUUCCCAGGUUCAAGUGAUUCUCCUACCUCAGCCUCCUGAGUAGCUGGGACUACAGGUACCUGCCACCAUGCCCAACUAAUAUUUGUAUUUUUUUGGUACAGACGGGGUUUCACCAUGUUGGCCGGGAUGGUCUUGAUCUCUUGACCUCGUGAUCCGCCCACCUCGGCCUCCCAAAGUACUGGGAUUACAGGCAUGAGCCACCAUGCCUGACCAGCAUUCCUUAUUUUUAUGUCCUUAUUGUAUAUCUUCUUUGGAGAAUUGUCUAUUCAUGUCUUUUACUUAUUUUUGAAUGAGAUUGUUUUGCUAUUGUUGAAUUGUAGUUCUUUACAUAUUCUGGAUAUUAAUUCUUUAUCAGAUAUGUGAUUGGCAAAUAUUUCCUCCUGGUCUGUGCAUUUUCUUUUGAUUCUCUUAAUAGUGUCCUUUGAUGCAAAAAAGUUUUUAAAUUUUGAUGCAUUCUAAUUUGUCAUUUUUCUUAUAUUACUUGUACUAUUGGUCACCAGCCAAGAAACCACUACCAAUUCUAAUGUCCAUAAGAUUUUCCUCAGUAUUUUCUUGAGGGUUUUACAGGUUCAAUUCUUAAGAUUAGUUCUUUGAGUCAUUCUGACUUAAUUUUUGAAAAGGGUGUAAUGGAAGGACAUGAAUUUUUUCCAGCAUCAUUCUUUUGCAUGUUGAUAUCCAGGUUUCCAGCACCAUUUGUUGAUGCACCAUCUGUUGCAGUGGGGCUGACACAUUUGUAAGAUGCAGUGAGCAUUAAUACAUGGGAGCACCAUGCAUUUAUUUACCUGUCUUUACUUCACAGUUGUUUUGAGAAGGCUUUCACUGACAGACUCAACAGAAAUGAAUAUAUAUGACUUCUUAUAAAAUCAUAUUCAAGUAAAAUUAUAAAUUUUAAAAUGUUAAGACUGGAGCAAGACUGGAACAUCACUAGACAAGCUGAAACAUAGGCUGAAAUGAAGGGUUAUGUUUACCUUGCUACAAAUUCUGUUGGCCCACAAUCUCUUAUGCUUAUUGCUUAAGAGAGCCACAGAGUGGGGUGAUAGCUCACAUAACCAGUCCCUGGUUUUCUGCUUCAGAAAGAAGUUUAAAUAUUCUGCUUAGACAGAGUAAGGAAAUUAACUGAAAGAUGUCUAAUGUGAAGUUGGCAUCUACAAAGUGAAGGAGUGAGUAGUAAGUGUAAACAUCAGGAAUCCCAGGAGAUUCUAUCUUUUUGCACGGAAAUGGCCUCACUAUGCACUGCUGAAGGGAGAAGGUCCCUUCAGGGGACCUUCAUGAUGAAGAAGAACACAAUAUGAUAUAGGAAUUUUCUGCUGCAGCCCUAAACUGAAUUGUCCUUCUCUCUAACUACAGGUCUCACAAAGUUUUAUAGCUUCAAUGAUUUCACCUGGGCCAAGAUUUUGGUUUUUUUUGAUGUUAUUUGUUUGAACUGCUGCCUGGGGCUUAGAAAAGUGACUUGGAUAUUUUGUCAAAAUGGAUUUUCUUUGAUGGAAUGUGAAAUCCGUAAACACUCUGCUUUCCUGCUGUAUCCCCAGAGCAGGUUGAGUACCUUGCACUUCUUCUCAGCACUUCGCUAGAAGUGGUAGAAGAUUUGGAGUUAGGGCCUCCCUCAAUCCCUACCCUUUCUUUAAUUCAGAGGAUCACAAACUGUUGGGAGAAGAGUGGUAUCUUGGGCCUCUAGCUGAUCUGAUGAAUAUUAAUAUCCAAUGUCCUGUAGUGAAGUCAUGUGUGCGUGUAACAUCACUUCUUCACGCAGUGUCAUAGGAAAGUGGGUUCCUGGACCCCAGGUUAAGAGCCUAAGCACUAAAGGCACAGAGCUAGAGCUCUAGGAGGGGAGGGAUGGCUGGGGUGGAACCUCGUCUUGUCAUUUAGUCCUGGGGCCUUUUCACUCCUUACAUGGUGGGUGGUGGGCGUCUGGCAGGUGCCGAUGUUGAUGGAGUCAAGGGAGGGAACUAGCCGGGACAGGGAAAAACAGGGUUGGAGAGAUAAUUAAGGUGGACGUUAUUUUUUCUGAGCGUAAGUCGUGGCUGGAAAUCUGGAGAGCCUGAAAGAGUAUCCCCCUACCCAAACCUGUUUUUUCCUUUUCCCUCAAGCCUCAUUUGGCCACAGGCCCAGUGUCAACACCAGGGGGCGCCACAGACCAUGAAGGCACCGUGCAGCUGGGAUUGUUUGUGGUCGGCUACUGGGUCCCUGACUUAACCAGGGGAGCCAAGACCCUGUAGCCAAGUGGCCUGGAUUCAACCUGCAGCUCAGGUCUUACUGACACUUCUCCCCCUGGUGCCUCAGUUUCUUAAUCUGUGAAAUGGUGAGGACAUUACAGCAUUUACCUCUGGGGCGGGUUUCUCAACAGCAGCACUAUUAACAAUUUGGGACAGAGAAUCUUGUGGAGUGGUCUGUCCUGUGCAUUGUGGGAGGUUUGCCAGCAACACCCCACUCACCCCCUCCCACCAAUCCCCAUGUGACAACCGAAAAUGUCCCAGGAUUUUUAGGUCUCCCUUGGGUCUAGAAGCUGCACUUAGGCAUUUUCCCACCUGACACUUGAGUUCAUCUCUGCUUUGGUCCACAUAAGGCCACUUUAAAAAAAUGUUGUUUCUUUAAAGAUUCUAACCAUCUUUUAAACAAAUCCAUUUUCUUCCUCUAUUUCUGCAUUCAGUUAAUCCUUCCAAACCCUUUGUUUAGUAUAUCUUGAAAUGUAUCAAUUCCUGUUCUAGUAAUUAACAUAUGUGACUUGCAUGAUAUCUGCUAUGACCCUUAGUAGAGCUCUGAUUCCUUUAGCACAGGGAAUGUGUUCUCGAUUCUGCUCUGGAUGAUGUAAAUCAAUUUAUUUUACUUUACUUGUCUGGGAUGUUGCUCCUCAUCUGUAAGAUGUAAAUGUGGAUAUGGCUUGGAUUACUAAGUGGUUUUAUUUCUUAAUUCACCUGACAUUUGUUGUGUGCCUGCUGCAAGUCAAAUACAUGGCAUGGUAUUGUUUCCUUGUUCACACCACAGCAAAUGAGAAAAUGAGACAUUAUAGCCAGGUGUGGCGGCACAGGCUUGUGGUCCUAGCUACUCGGAAGGCUGAGGCAGGAGAAUUGCUCCAGCCCAGGAGUUUGAGGUUACAGUAAGGUAUGAUAUCACCAUUGCAUUUCAACCUGGGCAACAGACCCUGUCUCUGAAAAAAGGGAAAAAGACCUUGUGAGCUGUCUACGUGUACUCUAUGUCUCAGGAGACUCAUAUCCUGUAAUUUUUCUAAAUGGCGUCUCCAUGUGGUCUUUCAUGAAUGUUUGUCUGGUAUUCUCUAUCCUUUUACUUUCAACUUUUCUUUACCUUCUACUGAAAUUAUGUCUUUUGUAAACAGCCCAUGAUUAUUUAUUUAGUUAUUUAUUUUUACCCCCCUGCACUAUUUGUCUUGUAAUUGGAGUGUCUGAGUCCAUUAUGUUUAAUGUAAUUAUUGACCUCAUUGGGUUUAAGUCUGUCCAUUGUCAUUUGCUGCCUUCUAAUAUUAUCUCUUUCUUGCUCAACUAUUUUUCUUAUGUUACCUUCUUUAGAUGAAUAAAAACCUUUGCAUUAUUG
rnacentral:lncRNA from 10 species